rnacentral:lncRNA from 1 species
CUGUCUGGCCCUAGGCUUGUACCUGCUCUGGCUGGGGCUGCCUCCCUCUGCCUCCCCAGGGUGCAGUCAGGGUGGGCUGCAUGCUGGAGGCACGCUGAGCACUGAGACCUGGAGGAUGUGCAUGCGUUUACGGGGAGACUCACCAAGGAAAACUUGCAUCUGGUGCUGUCAGCAAGCGAUGUUAUGUCCACAAUUCUGAGAAGCUGAGCAAUGCUUGUGAAAGGGCAUGUGUGUAGAAACAGGCUUCACUUCCUCUUUCCGAGUCUGCUGCCUCACGACAGUGCCAUAAAUAAAUAGGAAGCUUGGAGACGCACAGCUGACUGGAGGAGGCUCCCGAAGGAGCUGGCUGUGGAGGACCAGAGGAGGCAGAGUCUUGGAGUCACAAGAGCCAGUGACAUGAGUCUGGCACAGCCGCCAGCCCGGCAGCCACAGGAGACUUCAGGGCAAUGAGGACACCCACCUGUCCAUAGCCAGCAGCCAACCUGCAGGUCCAGAGCUGACCAGGAGAUGGCGCUGCUCCCAGGACCGCUCCUCAUGGCCCUGCUGGCUCUGGGCUGGGGGACCCGUGUGGAAGGGUCAGAAGGUACUGUUCCGCUGCAGACCCUGCACUGCUACAACGACUACACCAGCCGCAUCGUGUGCAGCUGGGCAGACACCGAGGCUGCUGGGCAGCUCAUCAAUGUGACCCUCCAUCGCAGGUUAAAAGGGGACCAUCCCCAGCCAGUGUCCUGUGACCUCACUAAGGAUAUGCCCUGGUCACACUGCCCAUCUCCUCCCUGUGUGCCUAGAAGAUGUGUCAUUCCCUACCAAGGUUUCGUCCUGGCCGACAAUGAUUACUACUCAUUCCAACCAGACCGGCUUCUGCACAUCCAGCGCACCGUGACACUGGCCCAGCACGGUGAGGGGGUGGCAUACCUGCCAGGGCCCUGUCCUUGUCUAGACAGCGGACACCAGGGACAGCCAGGCGAGAGCAGGAAGGAAGUGGCUUUGCCGCUGAGAUGUGAAGGCUGUGGAGGAGCGCAGGCGGGAGGCACUUUCCUGGUGGGGUAACUGCAUGUGCCAAGGCCAGGAGGUUCAGGAGGGGCGGGAUGCUAGGAAGACCCCAUCACCGUGUCAGGGAGCAUCAAAUUCCUAUGCUGGACAAUGGAAGGAAGAAGUGGGGACACGGGCAGGACCUGGAGCUGGUGUGCAGAGGGCACCAUCCAGGUGACAGAGAGUCCCCGAAGCAGUAUGAACCAACUGGGUAUUGGUGUGAGGAGGCUGGAAGCAGGCAGUGCACAGAUGAUAAAGGGGGCAGUGGUGGCAGGAAGGAUGGGGCCCAGAAUGUGAGCUAAGGCACACAGCACAGAGGGAAAUGAUAAGAUCCCAGCUGGCUGUGGCCGGGGUGGGAACAAGGGAAGAUGUAGUCCCUGUUGGGAUGGACAAGAGACCCAUUCUUGUGCUCGCUGGCUCACCCAGCAUCUGCAUAUGCCAGCAGGGCAGGGAAAAAAGUCAGCAGUCUGGCCACAGGGAACUCAGCACCUGAACAUGGGAAGGCUGCACAUGGAGAUGAGGACAGUGUAGAACAAAGAGAGGAGCAUGGCACUCUGCCUCCUGGAGUGUAUGUUGAAUAGGGAAGUCAGUUUGAGCCUAAAGUAAAUUAGGUCUGCAUUGAGGGGACCAGGAAGUGCCAGGGACGGUGCAGAGGAGCAACUGAUCUACUUGAUACUCCCACAGUUGAGAUCAUGGACAUUUCACUUCCUCUAUUGCUUUCUCCAUCUGUGACAUGAGCCAGGGGAAUAAAAUGGCUGAAGCUGGAUGGUUAGGGCAAAAUUGGCCCCAGUCUGCCCAGCUGGUGACGGCCUUCUGGAGCUCUCUGCUGGGACAGAUGCCCACCCCAUGUCAAUCUUGGGCUUGGGGUCUGUGAUCGAUUCCUGAUGUCUGUCCUGGCUGGGAGGGCAGGGGUGGACACGUGCUAUGCACCUGCCACUGGGGCUAAUGGCUGG